UACGUAGGGUCCGAGCGUUGUCCGGAAUUAUUGGGCGUAAAGGGCUCGUAGGCGGUUCGUCACGUCGGGAGUGAAAACUCGGAGCUUAACUCCGAGCCUGCUUCCGAUACGGGCAGACUAGAGGUAGGCAGGGGAGAGCGGAACUCCUGGUGUAGCGGUGGAAUGCGCAGAUAUCAGGAAGAACACCGGUGGCGAAGGCGGCUCUCUGGGCCUUACCUGACGCUGAGGUGCGAAAGCGUGGGGAGCAAACAGG
rnacentral:rRNA from 1 species